UACGAAGGGGGCUAGCGUUGCUCGGAAUUACUGGGCGUAAAGGGCGCGUAGGCGGACAGUUUAGUCAGAGGUGAAAGCCCCGGGCUCAACCUGGGAAUUGCAUUCGAGACUGCAUGGCUAGGAUGCGGAAGAGGGAAGCGGAAUUUCCGGUGUAGCGGUGAAAUGCGUAGAUAUCGGAAGGAACACCAGUGGCGAAAGCGGCUUCCUGGUCCAGCAUCGACGUUCAGGCACGAAAGCGUGGGGAGCAAACAGG
rnacentral:rRNA from 1 species